rnacentral:rRNA from 1 species
UACAGAGGUCUCAAGCGUUGUUCGGAUUCAUUGGGCGUAAAGGGUGCGUAGGCGGCGCGGUAAGUCGGGUGUGAAAUCUCGGGGCUUAACUCCGAAACUGCAUUCGAUACUGCCGUGCUUGAGGACUGGAGAGGAGACUGGAAUUUACGGUGUAGCGGUGAAAUGCGUAGAUAUCGUAAGGAAGACCAGUGGCGAAGGCGGGUCUCUGGACAGUUCCUGACGCUGAGGCACGAAGGUCAGGGGGAACAAACGGG